GUGGAUAUAGCUCAGUAGUAGGGCACAUGCUUAGUAUGCUUGAAGUCCUGGGUUCAAUCCUCAGUACCUUCA
rnacentral:tRNA from 1 species